CCACGCAUCUAGAGCCCGUACUCCACAACAAGAGAAGCCACCGCAAUGAGAAGCCGGCGCACCUUAACGAAGAGUAGCCCCCGCUCUCUGCAACCAGAGACUUUCCAGCUGUUCUAUCUGGCCAGGUCUGAGAAGGUGCUGCUGAACCCUCCUUUUCAGCACUUCACCUUAAGUGUGCGGCCAUUUCCACCCCCUUCCUCCUUUGCCAAACUUCAGACGCUGGGAAAACUCACAGGUGUUCAGGGUUGCAAAGCAUGUGUGGCUUAUUCUCAACACAUUCCUGAAAGCAGCAGCAACUUCUGAAACCCACCUCUUCUCUGCACAUCAGCUCUCCAACAGGUUCACAAAUAUUAUCCCCAGAGCUCUGCUGUUCGGGUUGCGAUUCAUCUGCCACUCAUGAGGAUCCUUGACACUUCAGGUAUCCAAAGAAUAAAACCUGAAAUCAAAGACUAGAAGCAGAAAAUCUGGAGGUUCUGACUUACAUGGGCUCCUGCUUCAGAUUAAUAAGAAACCAGUCCAUCAUCUGCCGCCAGCUGGACCCAGUGGAUCUCAGUGCUGCCUGCCAUCAGAAAUCUGAACCAUGCACCGAUUGCUUGCUCUGUGCUCCACUUCCACGACCCAACCCUGCUUUCUGUUCAGGCUGGUGGAGAUGCUACUGAGCAGAGAAUUAUCCACAAUUCAAGAAGCUAAUGAGAAUGGGGGAAAGAGAAACAAACGGCACUGAGUCCAAAGCCAAGGUAAUUAGCUCCUGGGUGACUAAGAGUAAAUUAUCUUUUUUUUUGAUACUGAGCUCAAGGAGAUCCUUGGCUUUUUUUUUUAAGUACUGAGUCAUAUAUUCCUUUGGUGUCAGAACUAAGAAAAGAGAACCGAUGCUUGCUACACUGACCUCAAUGUCCUGCGCUCUGGUAGUGUCUCCUUAAUGCCAACUCAGAAAAGCCUCACACAUCACUUCACAAUGGUCUUUGCCUCUACUUAAAAGGACAAAUUUUAGGCUUCAAUUUCUUUUCAUGCUAUUUGCUUGAAAAGAAUUCUUUAAGUUGGUGGCUAAGUAAACAACAGUAUUCUCCUAGCAGUGAAUUGGCUGUCCCACAAUCCCAACUGUAGUAUAGCCUAACCCCAAAGUAAUUAAAGAAUCAAGUGAUUUGCAUUCUUUGUCUAUAAAACUACUCUUGAGUAGCAGAUGGCAAACACAAAUGAUUUGCUCUAGAGACAUAUGGAAACCUCUCUGUUUCGUAAAAGCCUCAAUGAAUAUUAAACGCCGAGUGAUGUCACUCACUGCAGAAAUAAAAUGUUGUGAUAAUCCCCAAAACAGGCCUAAUUAGGCCAUACAGCUACUUGAGUUUCAGAAAGUAAUAGGAGGGAAAUUACUAUGUGAUUGGGAUUUCAUUAACAGUUCUUCUUAAUCUGAAUAUUCAUCCUGGCCCCAAAGAAUUACCUAUUCAGCCUUAUUUCUUCAGCAUUCUAUUAGAUUGUACCAUAAUUUAUAAUUGUAAAUCUUAAAAAUGAGUAAUCAAAGAGAUCUGCUUGAUUUCAUGUUAACUCUUCAGUUCUGCCUGAACAGCAAGAGCAAAAAUUUCAAGAGAGAUAGGGUGUUUUAUCACAGGUUUGGGAGCAUUCACCGUGCUCCCUGAUAAACUCUGUUUUAUAAGCCCUUGCUGCUGUUAAAUUGGUGGUGGGAGUGAAAUCUGUGUUUAAGGUUAUUCAGGAAAUGAUUAUCCAUAUUAAGCAGGAAUUGGAGGCAGGAAUCUGAUUGAAUAUGGCUCAAAAUACAAAGGAGAAUUUCAUUUUUCUCUUCAUCCUGUAGAUUGGCAAUCCAAUAAGUUGUUGGCAACCCAGUAACUUGUUCUCGUCACAGAAAGGACUGAAACUUUGCACUCCUUGGAAAGAGAGAAGUACUGAUAACUGAGUCAUAGGGUGAACUGAAUGCUUUUUAGAAUAAGGAACUAGGUGUCUUGGGCUCCUUUCCAGCCCCACACUCUGCCUGGCCUCCAAGGCCUCCUAGGCCUGUUGAUGAAUCUCCUCAAUUCACUAGGGUGUUUAGUUGGCCUUGGAGACCGAAGUCUGUAAGACCAGAACCCCUAAGGCAGAUCUCAGGAUAUCUGUUAGGAGCUUGGGUUCAAGAGCCAAAGGAUUUUAUAGACAGAAAUGGAUUCUCUAGUCCAGCCUCUUUCAUUUUACAAAUGAGGAAACUGAGGCACAGAAGGGUUGUUGUCCUUCUUUUAGGUCACAGAGCUAGUUAGGGGCAGAGCUAGGAACGGAACCCAGGUCACCUGAUGCUUUGUCCAAUCUUCCUUCCAUUUAAAAAGUCCCAGGACAGGCUUGUCAGGGCCUGAUAGAGAAUUUAGAAAGUUCAAGGCUAUCAAAGUGUUUAACCUUACCUGGUUGCUGAAGUGGGGUAGAAAAGGGACCAGGUGUCUAAGUGCCUGUGUUAAUUCUAGCUUUGGACCACCCAUCGCCUCCUCAAGGAAACAGUAUUUCUCUCUUGCCUCUUCUUUCCAGUUCAACAUCAAUCCGUCUGUUUAAGAGAAAGACAAGUCAGAAUUUUCCUGGAUUCAGCCCCAUGACCUCUCCAGAAAUUUCAACAUAACUGAACACGAUAUGAAUAUCUAUAUGCAUUUGACACUGAAACAGGUUAUAGUUUUCAUUGGUUGCUUCUACAGCAUUGUUGCCUCCUGUCUUCUCUAUUUCUAACAGGAUCCUGUGAUUUAGGGUGAGUUUGACCCCGUAUUCAGCUCGAAUGACUUAAGCCAGUUGGCUUACGCCAUUCUCUUGGACCCUAGGAUUGGUUCACGGAAGGGCAGUCAGGGCCCAUGGAACUGAAUUCUAGGGUAUUUAUUUGAACUCCUGAGAAAGAGGAUUCUUUACAUUCUGCUCUCUUUGAAUCUAGGUGUCCCAGGAGUUUCAGCAAGACAUUUUGCAACCACAUGAGGCCAGGCUGUUGAAAUCAGUGUUACUUUGAGGAAGCAUUGCUAAGAAACCAAGAGAGAGAAACCAGGUCCUGGGCAUGUCAUUUGAGCUGCUGGAUCACUCACCUGUCGCUAGUUCUAGAUCUGAUUAUUUUAGUAUAUGAUUAAGUAAAUAUUUUUAUUAUUUAGCAUUUAGUAUUCUAUUAUUUACUGCCACACGUAUCUCAAUACCUCUUAUGAUGCUGAUUGUGAGUUUCAUAACAUCUUGACUUUGCCAUUGGAUCAAAGUCCAUUUUAAAGUUGGUUCCAAAAGGCUUUCUUUAAUCACUCAUUCUAACAAGAAACUCUACCCAAAGCACAUAGUACUUACUGUGUAUGUGCCUUAUUUGACACAAAAUGCUACAUAGCGAUGCCCAGGCUAAUGAAAGGAACGAAUUUCACUAACAUAUUUUAUUGUCAAAAACUUUAUUAUUAGAGAAGGAAAUAAUACAAGUGUAUUAGAAUAGAUUCCUUCCAAUCCACCCUAUAGUAGAGUAAAUUUCAUGUAGCCAUUUUUUGGUAUUAUCAUGUCAUUUUUAUUUAAUUUUUACAUUCAGUGGAGAUAUGCAAAAUAUUUAACAGUUUGGCAUAAGCACUUGACCAAUCAGAUUGGAUGUCUGACCAAUCCGAAUUAAAAGCCAACCAAUCAGAACAGACACCUGACCCAUCAGAAUAGAUGAAGUGUGUGUCUGCCAGGUAUCUGCCUCCCAUUUAUCAUUGAACUUUUCGCUUGUGGGAUCUCCCCUCAAUUACCUGGGAAACAAACUGAGGGCAGGGACCACAUGACAGAUACCUUUGCAUGCUCCAGGUAGGCCUUGCUGAGCUGGUUUCACAGUGUGAGUUUGUUUGAGUAGACAUUAUUCAACCAAUGAUUGCUCAGGAAACAUCAGUGGGUGGAAAGAGUGCAGUGUGUCCCUCUCUGAUGAAGAUAAUUGUAGAAUUAUCCCACUGGAUUAUCACUAAACAAAUAGCAUGGUUUGGGAUGACAGACAGUUGAUAAGAGAAAUUGGUAUUUUUGAGGAGUUAUCAUUCAAUAUGGUCUUGACAAGCUAGAGAAAUAAUGUAUAAUCACACUGAUUUUUUAAAUACAACAAUAAAUAGUAUACUUACAAAAUGAAUAACAUAUAAAUAGAAGGUAAAGUACAACCAGAAAAGUAUUGGUGAGGCUAAAAAUACCUAGGUCUUAUAGCAAAUAAUAAACUGAAGGUGUCCCAGAAGUUUUAUAAGUA